rnacentral:rRNA from 1 species
UACGAAGGGGGCUAGCGUUGCCCGGAAUCACUGGGCGUAAAGCGCACGUAGGCGGAUCUUUAAGUCAGGGGUGAAAUCCCGAGGCUCAACCUCGGAACUGCCUUUGAUACUGGGGAUCUCGAGUCCGGGAGAGGUGAGUGGAACUGCGAGUGUAGAGGUGAAAUUCGUAGAUAUUCGCAAGAACACCAGUGGCGAAGGCGGCUCACUGGCCCGGAACUGACGCUGAGGUGCGAAAGCGUGGGGAGCAAACAGG